rnacentral:lncRNA from 1 species
CUGGGUUUUCCUCUAAGUUAAGUCGCUCUAACGGUGAAGAUAGUUGAUAUUCUGAUAAGGGUUCAAGAAAAGCUGUAUUUAUUCUGUUUGCUAGUUCUUGUUCCGAUAUAUCUUCAAAACCAGCGAUAUUUAUCAAAUUUAUUAGGGAGCUGUUCAUUGAUUUCAUUCCUCCUAGGCGUUUGAUUUCACUCCACCAAGUUUUAGGGUUAUCUUUUUCUUUACUGUGAACCUGGGUCGUAUAGUAUUUUGAUUUACACGCUUUUCUCUCGCGAUUGACAAUAUUUCGGUAAUAUUUAAAGCAGUUGGAUUUUGGACCGUAACUGAAAAAGGCUUCUUGUCUUUUUUUUAUAAAUGUUUUCAAUUUAUCGGUCAUCCAAGGAACAUCUGCGGAGAUUUUCUUAAUCCGUUUAAUUGGCAUGAGGAGGUCAAGACCAAUAGCUACAAUGUCAUAAAAAAAAUUCGCCAUAUCUUCACAGCUUUGUGAUUGAGCAAAAAUUUCAGGCCAAAGGAUUGAUUGUAAAAAUCUCCCCAUGGCAUCUUUCUUACUCUGACGAAGGUCUCGUUUGUAUACAAAUGUAGAUUUUGCUUUCUUCACAAUGUGAGUGGGUGAAACUACAACUGUGUUGUGAUCAGAUAAUCCAAUUGGAGGGAGUAUUUGCGGAGACUUGUAGAACUCGUGCAUAUUAGUUAAUAUAAGAUCAAGUAUUGCUUCGCCUCGAGUUGGUGAUUUAACUAUUUGUUUCAACCGAAAAUGCUUAAUUAUAUGAUUCACAUUAAGACGAUUGAAAUCCCCAGCAAUGAUAAUACCGCAGUUGUAAAAUUUUGCUUCGACUUCGCUCAGUGUCUGAAAUAAGUGACUCUGCAUGCUGAAAUCGUCGGCACUGGGGGGGGUGGUAUAGGACGGCAACUAUGAUUGAGGAAAAUUCACGAGGAAGUCGUCUAGGUUUUAAAUGAAGCCAUAAGAUUUCGUGUUCGGAACAACAUGAAAUUUCUGAAAGGAUUUUGAGUUUCGUAUCACCGUCUCUGAUAUAAAUACAGAUUCCGCCAUGGUUGUUUAUAGAUCUAUCUUUGCGUAUGAUUGUAAACCCAGGUAUACUUACAACGCUAUCUGUAAUUGAGUCAUUGAGCCAAGUUUCAGUUAGAAAGGAUAAGUUUAUCUCAUUUUCCAUCAUGAAUUCGCGGACUUCGUCUAUUUUAGGGGCCAAAGAUCUCACAUUAGUCACCAUUAAUUUUGGAAUAAAAUUACUAAUCCUCUGUUUUAAUGUAGUGGUAUUAAGUUGAUGGAGUUCUGUAGUAAGGGGCUUACAUGGCAGUGUACAGUUAUUUGGAAAUUCAACAGAUUCGUUUAAUAAUGACUGGGUGGUCUUGUUGGGUUGUCCAUCAGGGGAGGCAUAUAAGGGUAAUUUACAUGGGGAUAAAAAAAAGGGUGUCUCAUAGUAUUUAGGUGACUUUGAAAAUGAUACGGAGUUUGUCCGUAAAACGGGGGUGGAAAAAAUUGUUGUUGGUAUGGUUGAAAGGACUGUUGUGGUUUAGCGUGGGAGAAAUCACAUUUCAAACCCUUCAGGCAAUGACCCUUUCUGCGUAAGAAGGGACAUGGAACGUGAGAUUUAGGGUUUUUUGUGUGUCGGGGGAACCUAUCUUGGUAUGGUGCGGGUAUUUCGUUCCUACCCGCAAUUUCUUCUGAAACAUUAUCGGUUCCAGCGUUAUUUAGAUUUGCCGCGCCAACGUUGUUUUGAUCAGAUAUCUCGAUUAUACUAAUGUCGGGGGCGUUGGGAUUAGUCGUUUCAUUAAUUUCUUUUGUUUGGGCGUGAGUUAAAAUAUGCAUAUCAGUGGCAGGUUUGCCAUUUCGAUUUUUAACUAACUUUCCCCCAUUUUCAACUGAUUUUUCACCUUUACUCUGGCCCAUAAACUCAACUAAUUGUUCAACAGUUUGAGACAAAGUUUGUAUAAUUUCUCUGUUGAUUUCUUGACCCGAUUUUAGUUCCUCAAAGUCGAAAACAACAUCAGCACAUGGACAGAACGACUGCCGCGGGGUAUCUACAUUCGUCUGGCAUAACAUGUCCGAGCUAACUACAUUUUUAACACUUGAAUGUAGACUAUUCAAAAUCUUUUUACAUAAAUGUUGAUACACUUUACCCAUUUCGUCGCCUUCAAUCUGCAAGAGACCUUUGCCUUUUCUCCACGAGAUCAAACUGUCAUUAAACUUAAACACCUUUUUGUCGCCGCCGGGAUGUUCCCAA